GGACCCCUAGCUCAGUUGGUAGAGUACGAGAUUCCAGCGUCAGCCCGGGGCUACAUGGCGCUCUCUGUGUAGCCUCGGGCUGCGGAUUCCUCGGGGUCAUCCGUUCGAAUCGGGUGGGGUUCA